CCAGACUCCUACGGGAGGCAGCAGUGAGGAAUAUUGGUCAAUGGGCGGGAGCCUGAACCAGCCAAGCCGCGUGAGGGAAGAAGGUACAGCGUAUCGUAAACCUCUUUUGUCAGGGAACAAAGGCGGGGACUAGUUCCCGGAUGAGGGUACCUGAAGAAAAAGCAUCGGCUAACUCCGUGCCAGCAGCCGCGGUAAUACGGAGGAUGCGAGCGUUAUCCGGAUUUACUGGGCGUAAAGGGAGCGCAGGCGGCGCGCCAAGUCUGAUGUGAAACCCCGGGGCUCAACCCCGGGCAUGCAUUGGAAACUGGCGGGCUGGAGUGCCGGAGAGGUAAGCGGAAUUCCUAGUGUAGCGGUGAAAUGCGUAGAUAUUAGGAGGAACACCAGUGGCGAAGGCGGCUUACUGGACGGCAACUGACGCUGAGGCUCGAAAGCGUGGGGAGCAAACAGGAUUAGAUACCCCAGUACC
rnacentral:rRNA from 1 species